rnacentral:rRNA from 1 species
GACGAACGCUGGCGGCGUGCUUAACACAUGCAAGUCGAACGGACAGACAGAGAGCUUGCUCUCUUGAAGUUAGUGGCGAACGGGUGAGUAACGCGUAAUCAACCUGCCCUUCAGAGGGGGAUAACAACGGGAAACCGUUGCUAAUACCGCGUACGAUUCAUGAACGGCAUCGUUUAUGAAUGAAAGGUGGCCUCUAUGUAUAAGCUAUCGCUGAAGGAGGGGAUUGCGUCUGAUUAGCUAGUUGGAGGGGUAACGGCCCACCAAGGCAAUGAGCAGUGACCGGUCUGAGAGGAUGAACGGCCACAUUGGGACUGAGACACGGCCCAAACUCCUACGGGAGGCAGCAGUGGGGAAUCUUCCGCAAUGGACGAAAGUCUGACGGAGCAACGCCGCGUGAGUGAUGAAGGUCUUCGGAUUGUAAAGCUCUGUUAAUCGGGACGAAAGAGUUCUGCGUGAAUAAUGCAGAAAAGUGACGGUACCGGAAUAGAAAGCCACGGCUAACUACGUGCCAGCCGCCGCGGUAA